rnacentral:tRNA from 1 species
UCCUCUGUAACUCAGUUGGUAGAGCAUGGUGUUUGCAAUGCCAGGGUUGUGGGUUUGAUUCCCACGGGGGGCC